UACGGGAGGCAGCAGUGGGGAAUAUUGGACAAUGGGCGAAAGCCUGAUCCAGCCAUGCCGCAUGAGUGAAGAAGGCCUUCGGGUUGUAAAGCUCUUUUAGUGAGAAAGAUAAUGACGGUACUCACAGAAGAAGUCCUGGCUAACUCCGUGCCAGCAGCCGCGGUAAUACGGAGAGGGCUAGCGUUAUUCGGAAUUAUUGGGCGUAAAGAGCGCGUAGGCUGAUUAGUAAGUUAAAAGUGAAAUCCCAAAGCUUAACUUUGGAAUUGCUUUUUAAAACUGCUAGUCUAGAGAUUGAAAGAGGAUAGAGGAAUUCCUAGUGUAGAGGUGAAAUUCGUAAAUAUUAGGAGGAACACCAGUGGCGAAGGCGUCUAUCUGGUUCAAAUCUGACGCUGAGGCGCGAAGGGCGUGGGGAGCGAAACAGGGAUUAGAUAC
rnacentral:rRNA from 1 species